GUCUUAAAGACACAGCGCACCUAUAUAGAUUUCUUGUAUUGUGUGUUUUAUGAGCUGUUACACUGAUUAGGGUGCUGAUUUUUUCCAUAAUUUAUCACUUUGAGGCGGAUGGCAUUGGGCGGUCCACAAAAUUAUGCGUUUUAAUAUGCUUUCGGUUAAUUUUGCUGUAUGUAUGUAUGUUGUAUGCAGCAUUCGCCUGAUUGUGAAACUACCGAACAAUCAGAC